GGAACUUCCGCCGCCGCGCCCGCCGCCGUAGCUGCCGCCGCCGGAACUACCAGGAGUAAGGGUCACGUUCGGUUAAGCUCUUAACUUUGAAAAAGGGAUUGAUGUUCUUGAAAAAAUACUGUCAUGACUUCAUCAGCGUACUCAAGGACCUAUGAUGGAUUUCUCUUGUGGAUGAAUGAAGUCUUCUCAACAGCCUUGCCCGACUCUGUCCAGCUUCAUGCUCCCUGCGAUCCAGUCCCGGAGAAAGCUGCCUUCGUAUACCGAGUCUGCCCUGCUAAAUGGAGUAGAUGGCUGUGUGUAUGUGUUUGGGCUGAUCCAAAGUAGAUUCAGAAACAUGAAUCAUGAGACAGGUCGAUCUCCAGGGCCUGGAAAGUGCGCUUCAGCUCAUGGAUGUCACUUUGGCUGCUCUGCACGGCUGCUGGGCUGGCCACCUCCUGGGCCAUGGUGGCUGACUAGGAGACCAAGCAAAGGACAGAGGCAUUGGCAUUGGCACCACAUGGAAAUGGAACCUUUGGAAGGACCUUAAUCAGAUCUUCUCCUGGAGUGGAAUCCACCUUCACACUGACCUUGAAGUCAUUUGCAAUAUGCCCUUUCAGGACUGCGAGCAGUAAGAACUCAGAACUCCUAGCAGCCCUCCAGAGGAAAUAUCCAGGAAUGUCAGAAUGAUGCAUCUGCGGGGGGAGUGACAGCCUUUAGGGUGCCUUUCAUCCCCAGCACACCUCAAAACCAAACAACCCAGCCUUCACCAGGACUUCCUUGGCCCCUGGGAGGAAUGCAGCCUUUGGUAACUGGCCAGCAGCCCUGUCCCGGCUGAGCCCUGAAAAGGCUGGCUUCUGUGUGUCUGUGACCUGCAUAGGGAAUGGAGGAACACAGGAAACGAGCCAUGGGUUGUCUAACAUGCUUGAUGAAUCUUACGCUUCAUCUGCCAAGGGCACACCGGAUCUCUGCCAGCUGAGCCUCCACGUUAUCAAUCAGACACUGGAUCUGGGCCAGUAAGGCUGUGUAGCGGGCCUCUGUCUCCACCAGGAUGCAUUCCUGGGAAUCUCUCUACCACGGAGGAGGAAAGUAGGAUUUACAAUGAUGACUCGUUGGAGCCUAGGUUACUUGUAAACUGCAUCAUUUUAAACAAUGGUUUCUUUGUGACAGGUACUAAUGAAUCUCAAAGCCCUCUUAUUACUUCCUAACCAAACAAAUCCAAAACCAAAAUUAUCAACUAUGCUAAAGCUUGCUUCCUUUUAUCCUCUUUACUUAUUUUUGCCUCUCUUUAAGUAUUUACUUUCUUAAUCACCUGAUAAUAUCCUACCACACUCUCCUACCUGUGAGACAAAAAAAUAUUCCAACUUAUUUUAUGCCUGGGCUUCAAGAACCUGUUACCAUGGUACCUCAUUCUGUGACUAUUUAGACCUUAAAAAAGAAGUUAGCAGCAUUUAGCCAUAAACAACGCUUUCACUUAGUCCAUUCCUUUAUAUCUAAAACACGAGAGUUGAAACUUUGGUGAUUAUAGUUCUUUCCUGCUCCAUCAUUCUGUAAGUCUACGAAUAAUGGAAUUUUAGGUUUGAAUAACCUAUUAUUUUCAUGGUUUUCCCAAUUUUUAGAGAGGAGAAAACUGAGGUUCAAGGGAUUAAGUGAGUGGCCCAUGGUCACAUGACUAGCUGGUGACAAAACCAGCUUUGGGGCAGGGUCUUCCAAAUACCUUCAUAUCAGAGCCUUUAAAUAAUUCCCUAUUUCAGAAAGGCAGUACAAUGAGGCAGACGUGGUUCCAGCUUUGGAAACUGAAUUCCGGCUCAGACUCAUUUCUUUUGUGAGUUUUAACAAGUUACUCAAUGCCUCAGGAUCUCACUGUCUCCGUCUCUAUAAAAUAGGCAAGAUGGAACUCACCUGGGAUUUGGCGUGGGAAAAGCACUUCAGCUCCCUGAGCCUCAACUGUAAAAUUGGCUUAAUAAUGAUGCUACCUCCUUUAUAAGAUUAUUUUAUAAAUCUGAUAGUUUGUAAAAAUGUUUUGCAUGUAGUAAAAUGCUCCAUUAGUGUUUCCCAAAGUGUACUCCAUGGAUUAUUGCCAUGAGAUGCUCUUAAAACAAGGGGUCCAGAGUCAAAUAAGUUUGGAACGCUGAAUACCAUACAUCUCCUUCUGGGAGAUCCACAGGGCAUAUUAGCUUAUUAAAGGCCUGCAGGAAGGUACCUGUUGAACCAGCGUUUCACAGGCUUACUUGACCACAAGCCCUUUUUUUGGCCAUAGACCCUUUAGCAAACAGGAACUUCUGAGGGACACAGUUUGGGAAACACUGCACCAUGCAGGUGUCAGGGCUGCUGCCAUCCCUGUCGUGUUUGGCUUGGUCAGCUUGCUGGGUACCAUUCGGUGCUGGGCCUGCAGUUCAAUCUCCAGAGCAUUCCCGGUGCAUCUCAGCUCAGUGAUCUCCUUCAGGCAGCACUGCUGCUGUUGGGAGCUGCUCACCACCUGCUGGUUCAGCCGCUCCAUCUGCAACACAGUCAAAGGCCAUGACUAUUAUGAAGGAAAAUGUGAUGUGAUGAACGGGCACCUGGAAAUGCAAUGUCAACUUUUUGGUUUUGAGUUUUCUACCCUCCCCACCUGUGUGUUGAACCAUUGUUCCACUUCUCUGCGGUUUGUCUCCAUGAUGGACUCAUACUGACAUCUCAUUUCUUGUAGAACGCGGUUUAGAUCAACAGAAGGGGCAGCGGUCACUUCAAUGUUGAGUCUGUCCCCAAGCUGGCUCUGCAGGGAUUUGAUUUCCUGUGGAAAGAAAAAGAAUGUGAAGUCACUUGGUGAACAUAUGACACCCUUGUGUUCUUGUUUGUCUAACAGCAAUAAUUUAGCUUAAUUGCAUCUGAAAUAUAGCUCACAAUAAAGGAAUAGAUGACUUAUAGGUGCUAUUGAGAUGCUAUAAAAUGACCUCAGGCUAUUUCACAUAUGACUCUGUGUUCAAAUACGUGGAACAUUAAAAGGAAUCAAUUAGCAAGAUCAGAGUCUUAAAGAAUUUAGAUCAUUUCCAGGGAUGGGUAAUGGUGAAUUUAUAGAGGUAGAGAGGUAGAAUUUAUAAUAAGAGAACCAUAGUCUAUGACGCCAGUGUGGGCUUUUGCCAAUACGGACUUAACACCAACAGUGGCAGAAGUCUGUGUAGGGAUGGCUACAAAAAGAUGAGAAACCCGUGAGGUCAGGAAAAGCGUCGCUUCCUUCUGGAAAAGCUGGAGAGGGCAAUGGAGGCCUAAGAUAUAGUGGGAUAGGCGAUGGACUUAAAACACAUGGAGCCAAUGGUAGUAGCAGUAGGUAUUUUCAGGGCUGAGAAGCAGAGUAGUAUCUACUUUUCGGAGACAGCUUUUGCCAAGUUUGACUUGAGGAAAUUGCUGCUAUUUUUAGAGGCUGAGCUUGAAAUGACUCCCUUGGUUUUUCUCUAACCUCCUCAUGGUUGUUCUUGAGGCAGAGGAGCUCCUCCCUCAAAGACUGGACUUGUGCCUCCAGGUCAGCCUUGGCCAGGGUCAGUGCAUUCAGGAUCUGCUGUAGGCCGUUGGCAUCUGCCUCCACCAGCUGGCGUCCGGACAGCUCAGCUUCGUACCUUUAAGAGUGAGACAUAAAAAGAAAGGCAUUACAAUGCAGACGGUGUCAAUCAAGCCAAGCAGAACUCCUUCCUCAUUCUCCUUCAGGACUCUCAUGUGUUAUAUUUCUGUUGUGGGUUUCCUUCUCUUUAGAGGUGAGACCCCUUGAUAAACAUCACCACAUAAUUGUUAUUCCUUAUCAGUUUGCCAGCGUGAGGCCACAUUGCUGUUCUUUGAGGUAAGGGAAUUGACCCUGCUCCUCCUGACCCUAGAGGCAACGCAGUAGACGUGGAAAGAGUGAUGGAUUAGGAGUUAUAAAAUUCAGGCGCAUGUUUUAGCUGUGUCUUGCCCUAGUUGUAUGUCUCUGGAUGUAACUGAACCCCCUUAAGCCAGAGUUUUCUCGCCUUAAACAAGGCAACUAUAUAUGAGGCCUCCCCAUUUUCCUGAAUUACUGUGCAGGUAAUCAGAUGGAUUCAUAUGUUAGAAACUGCAAGUACUGCUUACAUGUGAGUGGUCAUUAAUCUUUAUCAUUUCCCGAAUGUGCAGGUUUUUAUCUGGGCUAGCGCUGGUGUGGUAUGGAGCAGGAGGCUUAGCAGAUUUGGGGAUAAUCUUCUUGGGAGUGUGUAGAGUCAGAGGCAGGGUGAAUUCUGUCAUGAAUGACAGUGCUGGGUGGGCUUACUUGGCUCUCAAGUCAUCAGCAGCCAGUUUGGUGUUGUCAAUUUGUGAGACCAGUCUGGAAUUCUCAGCCUUGGUACACAAGAUCUAGAAUUAAGAAAUUGUACACACAAAUGAGACAAACACCAGGAUCUCCUUUAAAAACCAAGGGCUUGUGUGUGUUGCAAUUAACACGGGGCAGGGGGCGGGGGACAGUUAGGCUUUCCAUAGCUAUGGUUAGGAAGCUUGGGAAGCUUUGGAAAAUCAGAGUUUCUGUUAUUUUCCUAAAAAAUCAGCAAAACCCACUCCAAUAGAAACUUCUGUAUAUAUUUUACUGUUAAAAUAUAAAAUCUGCCCUCGAUUUGCAUCCUCUGGAAUCUAAACGCCAUGAGGGCAAGGACUUUUUAGUUCACUAAUAUUUUCCCAGAGCCUAGAGUAAUGUCUGGUGUGUUGUUGGUGGUGCUUGGGAAAUACUUGUUGAAGAAAUUGGAAUAAAUCUGGCACGUGCAGUAGGAGCAGCACAUCACUCGGAUUAGGAGACAGGCUCGGUGUUGGAAGAAACCAUUGAAACAAUUUGGAGAUGAUGACAUGAGUAUAAAAGGGGGAAACAGUGGUGAUGGUAGCAAAAUAGAUAAAACCUAAACUCUUUAGGAACUUUUAAAACAAAAUGCUCUUUCUCAGAUUCCGGUUUUCUUAUUUUUGUUAAAGAAGUGGCAGGAAUCGGCUGUUGACACAUUUUGACACAUGUUGACACACUUCUGAGACAGCAGAAUGUAUCUCUGGAAUAUGAAUGAAUAUAAAACUCUGAAUAUUGCCUCAAGAUGGCAAUUUCCUUCAAGAGAUUUUCUUAUUCUACAAAGUAUUUUUUUCCAGCAUAAGAGGAACUAAAAAUAUUAAGGUUUAGCGAAUGGCUAUUGCUUGGAGAGUGUCAUGCCCCAACCUGAUUAUACACAUUACUAAGACUCUUACCUUCUGCUGGAGCUCCUCAAUGGUAGCGUAGUAGGACCGGUAGUCAGGACAUACAACACAGAGCUCCUUGUUACACUCCUCCUGGAUUUUGUGCUCCAGUUCCGCAUUCUCUUGUUCCAAGAUCCGCACCUUCUCCAGGUAGUUAGCAAGGCGCUCGUUCAAGAUUUGCAUGGUCUCUUUCUCGUUACUGUUGAUGCCUUCACCACACCAGCCACAGUCAUCCAGAAGGCAACAGGCAUUGAAGUUGUUUAUUAAGCAGACGGGUGUGAAAUAAAAGCAAGGAAUGGGUCUGGCAGCCCUCGGAACAUGGCCAGUUGGUGGGCAGCUGUUGGCUUUAAGACUGCCAUGUUGGCAGCUGGCGUUAGAAGAAAUGGUCCGACAGUUUGUAAUCCUAGAGCAGCUUUGGUGUGGCGUUGAACAAGAAGUUGUUAUUGUACAGCCCUUGGCAUCCAUAGUGCGUAUCCAGUUUUGGUUUAUUUCAGUCUGUGGUCCUGAUCGAAAGCUCAAGCAGCUGCGACUGUGUCUGAAUUCCCAGCUUCUUGGCUAUUUCCUCUUUGAAGUGCUUAUAUAGCCUUUGCUCUAGGUGGGGUCACAGCUGGGAGGAUGUUUUCCUUUCUAAUGUUUAUAUCAAAUCCCAUAGGAACAUCUCAUUAGUCUGCUUUUUACUCGCCUGAGAAGAGUUACCUGUCUCAUAAAAAUGUGCAUUUCGGCUGUUACUAAGUUAUGACCCAUCACAACUACUACUUGUCAUUGGACCCAGAGCUUCACAUGAAGUCUUCAAAAGGAACUGUCGUCACAGUUCUAACAGCAUCCAUUAUUAAGUAGGUGUGAGUGUAUUAAGUUCAUUAAAUCCUUGUUGACCUCUCCACCUGGCAUUAAGCUUGAUCAGGAAUGAGUUCAUCCUUCUUUUCCUUUCUUCUCUAGAAAAGGGAAACGAUUAAUAUCUAAUAAUUGUUGGAGAACUUAGAAAUCCGUGUUUUAUUUUGUUUUGCCCACUGAUUUUCCCAUUUUCAUCAUUUAGACAUCAUGAGUAUGGGUUAAAAUGCUAAUUUUAAAAUAAGACCCUUCUUAAAGGCGAUUGCUAGAUUCCUGUUUCAGUUUGCCAGGUAGGGUUUGAUUGCUAACAAGAAAUUUCUUGGGAAAGAGGCUGGUUAUCUUUUGGUUUUCUAAAGCCCACAUUUUAUGACAUUUUUAACGCCUCAGUGUUUGCUCGUGGAAUUACGUUAGCUAAAAAUUUGUCAUACUGUUGGCUUCUAUUUGCUGUUUAAACAUGAUCUGUUGAAGGGUGUGUGUUUUCUUUCUCAGGAAUACUUUCUCAGCAUCUUCUUGAGAAAGUUAUUUGUUCCUGAUCCUUUAUGGAGGCUCUAGGAGAGAAUAAUCACCAGCUUCUAGAGGCUGCCCAUGCUCCUUAGCUCGUGGCCCCUUCCAUCUUGAAAGCCCCCAGUGUCAGAUCUUGUUCACAUGGCAUCACUCUGACACCGACUCUUCUGCUUUCCUCUUCCACGCUUAAGGACCUUGUGAUUAUACUGGGCCCAUGCAUAUCAUCUAGGAUAAUCUUGCUAUUUUAAGGUCAGCUGAUUAGCGGCCUUACUUCCCCUUUGUCAUGUAGCCUAACGUAUACAAAGAUUGUAGGAUAAGGACAUGAACAUCUUUGGGGGCCCAUUAUUCUGCAUAUCACAUAAUGUAAGGAAAAGACACACUACUUUACAAUAGCACCAACAAAUAUAAAAUACACAGGAAUAAAAUUAGAAAGGUAAACUACAUGAAUAAAAUAUUAAAAUGCACUGAAGGACAGAAAACUAGAAUAAAUGGAAAGAUACCGUGUUCUUGGAUUGAGGUACUGUAUUCAUUACUAUAAAAAUAUCAGUGAUCUCUACAUUAAUUUAACUUAGAUUCCAAUAAAUUUAUUGAGAUCCUCCCAAAAUGUGAUUUUUUUCAACCAGACAAGUUAAUUCUGAAGUUUUAUGAGAAAAAAAUUAAUCAAAUUUGAAUAGCCAGGAAAAUUCUAAAAAAGAAGUCAAAAGAUUAGUCCUUCCUUUUUAAAGCCUCAAGAAUUAAAAUACUAUAAUAUUCAUGCCUGAAUAACCAGAAAAAUGAAUAGAAUAGAAUAGAACAAGGAGUCUAAAAUAGACCUCCUUACAAAUUGUUAUUUCGUAUAUGAUAAAUGUGACAUUUCAAAUCAGUGGGGGAAAAGAUAGAAUAUCAUAUGUAGUUUGGGGACAAUUCUGUAACACUUGAGGUCAAAGGUGGGGCAGGAAAUGUUGGAAUUAUACCUUAUGCCUUAUAGUAGGACAAAUUACAAUUUUUUAAAAAAGGUUUUGUUUAUUUAUUUGAGAGAGAGAGAGCAAGAGCACAUUAGGAGGGAGAGGGGCAAAGGGAGAAGCAGGCUCCCCAGUGAUCAGGGAGCCCAGUGCAGGACUUGAUCCCAGGACUCCGGGAUCAUGACCUGAGCUGAAGGCAGAUACUUAACUGACUGACCCACCCAGGCACCCAACAAAUUACAAAUUGAUCAAAGAUUCAAAUGUGAAAAAAUGAAAUCAGAAUUGUACUAAUAAAUAUGAGAGUUCUUUUAUAAAUUUGAAUUCAGAAGGCCUUUCUAGUAAGGACCAAAAUAAUGAAACCAUAAAAACUUAUAAACCUGACUACAUCGAAAAGCUUGUACAUUGGUAAAAAACACAACCUCUAAAAUCAGAAGACAGAUGACAAACUGGGAAAUCAUAUUUGCAAUAACACUGCAGAUAAUGACCAGAAAGAAAAUAUAGAAGGCACUCAAUUUAAAAAGUGCCUUAGAGGGGUGCGUGGGUGGCGCAGUCGUUAAGCAUCUGCCUUCAGCUCAGGGUGUGAUCCCGGCG